rnacentral:rRNA from 1 species
UACGUAGGGUGCGAGCGUUGUCCGGAAUUACUGGGCGUAAAGAGCUCGUAGGCGGUGUGUCGCGUCGGCCGUGAAAACCUGCAGCUUAACUGUGGGCGUGCGGUCGAUACGGGCAUCACUGGAGUUCGGCAGGGGAGACUGGAAUUCCUGGUGUAGCGGUGAAAUGCGCAGAUAUCAGGAGGAACACCGGUGGCGAAGGCGGGUCUCUGGGCCGGAACUGACGCUAAGGAGCGAAAGCGUGGGGAGCGAACAGG